rnacentral:tRNA from 1 species
CACUAAUGAAGCUAAAUUGGGAAAAGCGUUAGCCUUUUAAGCUAAAAAAUGGUGGCUCCCACCCACCCGUAGUGA